rnacentral:misc_RNA from 1 species
CUCCAUCAUCUCCCCAAAUUCCUGCGUCUCCAUCAAUGUCGAAGUCACCGGAACCAACGACCUAGAAUUACGACUCUUGCCGGCAGGGCUAUUAUCCAAUUUGCCAUUCCUCGGUUUCUUCGACUUCCUCAACACGUCGCCAUUCGACAAAGCAUUCUCCUGCGAUGAAUUGAAGCUGUAGGGAUCGGGAUCGAAGGAGGGCCAGAGAGAGGAAGAUUCUUGGGAGGAGAAGGGUAAACUGUAUAAAUCUUGACAUGGGUUUUCUUGGGAAGAGAGAGCGAAAGAGUCCCUGAAGGAGUUUUCGGGAACGGUUUCGUCAAGAGAAUCCGAGUAGGUCCUGGUUAAGCCCCGGUUGCGGCGACCAUAAGUUCUAACGAUCAUGUUUGAAUUUUCCACCGUCUAUCUUGAAGAAUAGAGGUUUGGAUUUGGCAUUACUGGAAAAAGACAGAGGCUUUUUUGAAAAUCUC